AAUAGAUACCCAGGUAGUCCAUGCCGUAAACGUUGGGCGCUAGGUGUGGGGCUCAUUCCACGAGUUCCGUGCCGCAGCAAACGCAUUAAGCGCCCCGCCUGGGGAGUACGGCCGCAAGGCUAAAACUCAAAGGAAUUGACGGGGGCCCGCACAAGCGGCGGAGCAUGCGGAUUAAUUCGAUGCAACGCGAAGAACCUUACCAAGGCUUGACAUGGGGUGAAAACCGGCAGAGAUGUCGGGUCCGCAAGGGCGCCUCACAGGUGGUGCAUGGUUGUCGUCAGCUCAUGUCGUGAGAUGUUGGGUUAAGUCCCGCAACGAGCGCAACCCUGUUCUAUGUUGCCAGCACGUAAUGGUGGGGACUCAUAGGAGACUGCCGGGGUCAACUCGGAGGAAGGUGGGGAUGACGGUCAAAUCAUCAUGCCCCUUAUGUCUUGGGCUUCACGCAUGCUACAAUGGCCAGUACAAAGGGCUGCGAGACCGUGAGGUGGAGCGAAUCCCAAAAAGCUGGUCUCAGUUCGGAUUGGGGUC
rnacentral:rRNA from 1 species